UACGUAGGGUGCAAGCGUUAAUCGGAAUUACUGGGCGUAAAGCGUGCGCAGGCGGUUUUGUAAGUCUGUCGUGAAAUCCCCGGGCUCAACCUGGGAAUUGCGAUGGAGACUGCAAGGCUAGAAUCUGGCAGAGGGGGGUAGAAUUCCACGUGUAGCAGUGAAAUGCGUAGAGAUGUGGAAGAACACCGGUGGCGAAGGCGGCCUGCUGGGCAGUUUAGCUGACACUGAGGCGCGACAGCGUGGGGAGCAAACAGG
rnacentral:rRNA from 1 species